UACGGGGGGAGCAAGCGUUGUUCGGAUUUACUGGGCGUAAAGGGCGCGUAGGCGGUCAGCACAAGUCAGUUGUGAAAUCUCCGGGCUUAACUCGGAAAGGUCAACUGAUACUGUGCGACUAGAGUGCAGAAGGGGCAACUGGAAUUCUCGGUGUAGCGGUGAAAUGCGUAGAUAUCGAGAGGAACACCUGCGGCGAAGGCGGGUUGCUGGGCUGACACUGACGCUACUGCGCGAAAGCCAGGGGAGCGAACGGG
rnacentral:rRNA from 1 species